GACGAACGCUGGCGGCGUGCUUAACACAUGCAAGUCGAACGGAAAGGCCCUGCUUUUGUGGGGUGCUCGAGUGGCGAACGGGUGAGUAACACGUGAGUAACCUGCCCUUGACUUUGGGAUAACUUCAGGAAACUGGGGCUAAUACCGGAUAGGAGCUCCUGCUGCAUGUUGGGGGUUGGAAAGUUUCGGCGGUUGGGGAUGGACUCGCGGCUUAUCAGCUUGUUGGUGGGGUAGUGGCUUACCAAGGCUUUGACGGGUAGCCGGCCUGAGAGGGUGACCGGCCACAAUGGGACUGCGAUACGGCCCAGACUCCAACGGGAGGCAGCAGUGGAGAAUAUUGCACAAUGGGCGGAAGCCUGAUGCAGCAACGCCGCGUGCGGGAUGACGGCCUUCGGGUUGUAAACCGCUUUCGCCUGUGACGAGGCGUGAGUGACGGUAAUGGGUAAAGAAGCACCGGCUAACUACGUG
rnacentral:rRNA from 1 species